GACGAACGCUGGCGGCGUGCCUAAUACAUGCAAGUAGAACGCAGUUGCGAACGGGUGAGUAACGCGUAGGUAACUGCCUCAUAGCGGGGGCUAACUAUUGGAAACGAUAGCUAAUACCGCAUACUGUGAGAUGGACCUGCGUUGUAUUAGCUAGCUGGUGAGGUAAAGGCUCACCAAGGCGACGAUACAUAGCCGACCUGAGAGGGUGAGCGGCCAAACUGGGACUGAGACACGGACCAGACUCAUACGGGAGGCAGCAGUAGGGAAGAUUCGGCAAUGGAAGGAAGACUGGCCGAGCAACGCCACGUGAGUGAAGAAGGUUUUCGGAUCGAAAAGCUUUAAAGUUAGAGAAGGGGUAACUAACCAGAAAGGGACGGCUAAGUACGUGCCAGCAGCCGCGGUAAUAG
rnacentral:rRNA from 1 species